rnacentral:rRNA from 1 species
CCUACGGGUGGCAGCAGUGAGGAAUAUUGGUCAAUGGCCGGAAGGCUGAACCAGCCAUGCCGCGUGAAGGUCAGUGCCCUAUGGGCGUUAAACUUCUUUUGUGCGGGAGCAAUAAUGGUCACGUGUGGCCAGACGAGAGUACCGUACGAAUAAGCAUCGGCUAACUCCGUGCCAGCAGCCGCGGUAAUACGGGGGAUGCAAGCGUUAUCCGGAUUUAUUGGGUUUAAAGGGUGCGUAGGCGGUGAGGUAAGUCAGCGGUGAAAUGCCCCGGCUCAACGGGGUGAAGUGCCAUUGAUACUGGCUGGCUGGAAUGCGAGUGCCGUAGGAGGAAUGUGUGGUGUAGCGGUGAAAUGCAUAGAUAUCACACAGAACACCGAUUGCGAAGGCAUCUCACGAAUCCGCGAUUGACGCUGAUGCACGAAAGCGUGGGUAUCAAACAGGAUUAGAUACCCUGGUAGUC